rnacentral:pre_miRNA from 1 species
AAUGGGAUAGCUGGGUCAGACGGUGGUUCCAUUCCAGGUUUUCUAAGGAAUCUCCAUACUGCUUUCCAGAUUGGUUGCACCAAUUUGCAGCCCCACCAGCAGU